rnacentral:rRNA from 1 species
CAGUAGCCGCGGUAAUACGGAGGGUGCAAGCGUUAAUCGGAAUUACUGGGCGUAAAGCGCACGCAGGCGGUCUGUCAAGUCAGAUGUGAAAUCCCCGGGCUUAACCUGGGAACUGCAUUUGAAACUGGCAGGCUAGAGUCUUGUAGAGGGGGGUAGAAUUCCAGGUGUAGCGGUGAAAUGCGUAGAGAUCUGGAGGAAUACCGGUGGCGAAGGCGGCCCCCUGGACAAAGACUGACGCUCAGGUGCGAAAGCGUGGGGAGCAAACAGGAUUAGAUACCCCCGUAGUCCAUGUCUCUUAUAC